UACGAAGGGAGCUAGCGUUGUUCGGAAUCACUGGGCGUAAAGCGCACGUAGGCGGAUGUGUCAGUCAGGGGUGAAAUCCCGGAGCUCAACUUCGGAACUGCCUCUGAUACAGCACGUCUGAGUCCGAUAGAGGUGGGUGGAAUUCCUAGUGUAGAGGUGAAAUUCGUAGAUAUUAGGAAGAACACCGGGUGGCGAAGGCGGCCCAACUGGAUCGGUACGUGACGGCUGAGGUGCGAAAGCGUGGGGACGCAAACAGG
rnacentral:rRNA from 1 species